rnacentral:tRNA from 1 species
GGUGGCCGAGUAUAUGGAUCUGUAGACUUGUUUACGGGGCAAGCCCCCCCCCACCCC